rnacentral:rRNA from 1 species
UACAGAGGUCCAAGCGUUGUUCGGAUUCAUUGGGCGUAAAGGGCGCGUAGGUGGUUCUGUAUGUCUACCGUGAAAGCGUACGGCUCAACCGUAUUUUGUCGGUAGAAACUGCAGGACUUGAGGCUGGGAGGGGCUGGUGGAAUUCCCUGUGUAGCGGUGAAAUGCGUAGAGAUGGGGGAGAACACUCGUGGCGAAGGCGGCCAGCUAGACCAGUUCUGACACUGAGGCGCGACAGCGUGGGGAGCAAACAGG